CCCGGUGCCCGGGUUACCACGCGGCCGUUACUAGGCCGCUCUCUGGGACACGCCCUUAUUAGCGCGCCAUUGGUAGGAGAGAGAAGGCUUCGGUUUCUAUUGGCUACAAGUUACGCCCGUCGCUGGCUGCGGGUUCUGGAUUUUCUGAGUGAAUCAGAUUGAAUGGCUGAAGAGCAAUGGCUUGGCGGUGGAGGUCCAGAGACGUUGCUGGAUUACACAUAGGAAACAUUAAUGGGAUUGCUGGAUGGAUGCUGGGUACGAAGAGACACGUAAGGACUGGAAAGGUCCCUCCAGUCAUCAACUCAUAAUGAACAAAAAUAGAACGCUGGCUUCUUGGACCUGGACCUGGAGGAUGGAUACCUUUUGUUUAAGGGGUUUAGAGCUCUGGAAAUGAAGGGUGGGGUAGUCACACCUCAACGAGAAUGUGAGCAAUGUCACUGAGCCAUGUGCUCUAGGAUGAUUAAGCUACUAAAUGUUAAGUAUAAACUACCCAAUAAAAAUGAUUUUGUUGGAAAAAAAAAGCUGAUGGUGACAGUUUGCUGGCCUGCAGCCCUGGGCUGGCCAUGCAUCUAGAUCCCACACAGGAGGGACACUUUGCUGAUGCCACAACAUA